CUUUUAUAAGUGAAUCCUCCACUUCAGACUGCUCUCUUGUUGCUAGGAGUGAAAAACAAAACUAAGCCUGUUCUGUCUCCUGCCUGCACCAGAGCGACCACAAAGGAGCAGACUGGUGCUAAUGUUGCCAGGGAAAAGAAGAAGAAAAGAGGCAAGGCAUUCUUGUAGUAAACAAGUGUGGCAACCCAGGACCAAGAUGUGAGAGCUGUGUCAGCAACCAACCACAAUGCAUUGGCAUCCAGAGCCAUGGCUUCCAGAUUUAUGGAGAUGUAAGGAAAGGAAAAAUCAAAGACUACAGCCAUCAGAGUGCUUAGUAGAUUGAACAGAAGCAUGCCAGCAGUCCUGUUCAUUGAGCCAUUGCACUAAAGAGCAGUCUAACUUUUUUGUUGAUCCGAUGAUCUCCUCAUGGAGCAAGUGGGUGAGGGUCAAGGUCAGGGCUUAAUUGCUUUUCUGGACAACACUGCUUAAUGGACACAGCAAGUGUGAGCUGUCAAAUGCUCUGACUUCUUGGAAUUUACUGUAUAACUAAGCAUUGUCUCUCUUCUUGUACAAGGCAUACUUUCUUCUAUGUAUGUAUCUAUGUGAAGUCCUUUGGGUGGAGUCAGUCUUCAAUUCUGUUGAUUUUUUUUUUUAUCAGUUCAGUUGGUUUUUGCUCUUCCCCUCUUGCAGAAGUGACUGUUACCUUUUCAGCUGUUACCUUUUCAGCUAGUGAUAAGAAAUAAUAAAUAAUUAAGAUGUU